ensembl:lncRNA
AUGCCUGGCUGGGACAGCUGUUGGACCAGUGGGCCAGGAUUGGUGCCCAGCCUCGCUGCUGUGUCACCAGGAGACGAGGGGACAGGCAGGACGUGCCAGGCUCCAGCACAGACAGGGCUCUGCAGCAGCAGCCUCCAGCCUGGGAUAAGGAGAGCAGCUCCCGUGGCACAGCAGUGGGACAUGGACCCCCGGACAGGUGAGUGGGUGGCUUUCCCCUCUCACAGGGCAGAGAUGGGAUGUUCAUGGCACGGGCAGUGCUUUCCUGACCUUCUUCCUCCCCUCUGCGCCGUGGGCUGGGGUUGGGGCUCACCGCUGGUGUGGCUCUGCUGCUCGGAGCCAUCCCUGGGAUUCGGGCACCUCCGCUCCCGAGGGUGCCGGGGCAGGGGCAGGGCCUGGGCACGACGCCGUCACCUCCCACGGGCAGUGGGCGUGGGGACGGGGCAGUUUCGGCAGCCGGCUGAUUCAGGGAGGCUGUUGCACCACGUUCCUCCGUCCCCGCAGCUCCUGCCGUGACUCACGGCCGCUGCAGCUCCCCGGCCUCGCCCACACCGGGGGUCCCGGCGCUCCCGCUCGCCCCUGCCCCAGCAGAAACUUUGGCCGCCCACGUAUCCUGAUCCGUGCCAGGAGGGAAAGGAAGGGCAGGGCGGGGCAGGGCAGGUCCUGUGCCCGAUCCCCCGGAGCUGGUGGCCGGUGCGCCGCGGCCCCCGGCUGUUGGCGCGUCCCAGCAGGUGGAGCGAGCGCCGCGGGCUGCAGGGCGCGCUGAGCCCUCGCUCGCUGUGUAAACACCGUGACCACAGGGGAAGUGUUCUCACUCCGCUGGCAUCUGCCUAAAUUUAGCUGCUCUUAGGUCACCCCAUCCCGCUGCCUCCUCGCUCCCGGUGCCGCGCUGAAUCCCGUCCCUGUGCGCUCCGCUGGCCGCGCCGCGGGGCAGAGCCCGAACCCCCCUGUGCGCUCCUGGCACAGCCCCAGCAGAGCUGCCAGCACGGGAAUCGGUGCCCAGUGGCUGUGCUGGGCACUUUGGUGUCCUGGCAAUUCCGAGCUUUGCUUGGUGCUGGGUUUUGCCAGAGCCCGCGGCACGGAGGGGAGGGACGGGGCGGUGAGAGCCCGCACUGCCCCGUUCCGUCCCGAACCCGCCUGGAGCUGGCGGCAGCAGCUGCUCGCGCUGACAAAAAACAUCCUCUAGAGGGAACUGCCAGCCCAGACAUGGUUCCAGUGCCGCCAGGAAAGGAGCAUCGCCCCACGAGGGCGUGAGCGGGACCGGGAGUGGAGAUACAGCAUGGUCAGGGCGGCCACCUCCCUUCCCCGUGACCGUCCCACCUGCCAGCUCACCUGGGGACAGCGCUGGGCUGCGGCCCGAGGCUUUGGGGGCAGCAAAAAUCUGUGUGCCACUGUCCUGGCAGAGACCGGGCACUCCCGGCAGCCCUGCCGGCCGCAGCCCCUCCCCACCGUGGGGACAGCACCGGCUGGAGAGCUGUACCGCGGCUCCCAGGGGUCCUGUCCCCUGCCGGGGGCAAGCGGGACCCCUCUGCAGAGCCCCUCGUCCCUCUGCUUUCCAGGACAAGAGCCCAUCAAGGUGAUCGGGGUUGUCUUGGGCAUCGGUCUGGCCCUGCUGGUCCUGG